rnacentral:snRNA from 1 species
UUUUGGGUGAUGAGUGGUU